CAGAAUGCAUCUGACAAGAACAAGGAAAGUGAAUCAGUAGCUGAAUUCAGAAAUCUAACAUAGUUCUGAGCCUCAUGAUCAAGCCAGGCUUUGUUCCACGCUACUGCUUCCAAAACUGCUGACACAGCAGAUGUGAAAAUACAGGUUCAGAGAAUCAUGAAGGGAUAAAUGAGCAAAUUUGCUCAAUGCUUGGUGUUGCAGAUGUCCUUGUGCUGAACAUUUAUUCUCCAGUGGUUAGAAGGGACAAGCCCAACUCAACUGGUACUUUGUUAAAAAGAAUUUCCUGUAAACUGCACUGAAAGUGGAUACUUUAUGCUAUUCAUUAAAGCUCAGUGUUAGAUUCCUGGUUCCAAACCCAAUGAAAUACCCAUAUUCGAUGCCCAUACCUAACAUACUGGCUUGUUAGGUACCAGAAUCCUGAUUCAAGAUGACAGAAGAUCACUGGCAGAAACAGAAGAAAAUCAGUCUAGAGGAGAAAAAGCUGUCUUGAGAAGAUUCAAUUUUCAUCAUUAAACCAGCUAAAAGGUGACUUUGAAAAAGAAGGAGAAGAUAAACUUUCCACACUGAUGAUGGAUUCUUUUUUCUGCUAUUUUGAUUAAAAAUGAAGCUGAAAAUCUUUUAAAGCUUUAGAGGCAGAAUUCCUUCAGCAAAAAAAGAAUGGAAAGAGCAUCAGGAAGCAGUGUGAACUUCUGCAGUGCAUUGAAUAUGUGCUACUCUGUGGAAGAACCAUUUCUAGAAGUAAGUGGCAUUUGUCCCCAAAGUCUGGUUAAGCCUAGGUGCUUCACUUACUUGUUCCAGUUAUGUUUUGUUUUCUUUUCUUUUGAC